GGGUUUUGGGUAACUGAGACCCUAGUGGCAAACGGGUGAGUAACACGUGGGUUACCUACCCUCAAGUGGGGAAUAACGACCCGAAAGGGUCGCUAAUACCGCAUGUGGUCGUGAGACCAAAGCCGCGCGUAAGUGUGGCGCUUGGGGAGGGGCCUGCGGCCCAUCAGGUAGUUGGUAGGGUUAUUCUCUACCAAGCCGGAAAAGGGUAGCUGAUCUGAGAGGAUGACCAGCCACACUGGCAUNGAUCCACGGGCCAGGGACCUACGGGAGGCAGCAUCGGGUCUGNUGUUNAACUCGAGCCGUC
rnacentral:sRNA from 1 species